rnacentral:rRNA from 1 species
UACUGUGCCGAUUACUAUUUAUGUACGAGAUGAGUAUACCUGUAUAAUGAACAAUACACAUGAAGACCCUAGAAAUUUUUUAUAAAGAUAUUAGUAUACUACUAUUUUGUUGGGGCGACAGAAUAACAGAGAACUUAUUUUACUAUAUAUGAAUUAUAUAUAAUGAAAAAAUAAAUUACUCUAGGGAUAACAGCAUAAUUAUUUAAUAGUUUGUGACCUCGAUGUUGGACUAAGGAAUGUUUUAUUCACAAGAUAAAGCCGCACGCUCUGUUCGAACAAAUAUCCUUACAUGAUCUGAGUUCG